rnacentral:rRNA from 1 species
UGGGGAAUAUUGCACAAUGGGGGAAACCCUGAUGCAGCGACGCCGCGUGAAGGAAGAAGUAUCUCGGUAUGUAAACUUCUAUCAGCAGGGAAGAUAGUGACGGUACCUGACUAAGAAGCCCCGGCUAACUACGUGCCAGCAGCCGCGGUAAUACGUAGGGGGCAAGCGUUAUCCGGAUUUACUGGGUGUAAAGGGAGCGUAGACGGUGUGGCAAGUCUGAUGUGAAAGGCAUUGGCUCAACCUGUGGACUGCAUUGGAAACUGUCAUACUUGAGUGCCGGAGGGGUAAGCGGAAUUCCUAGUGUAGCGGUGAAAUGCGUAGAUAUUAGGAGGAACACCAGUGGCGAGGGCGGCUUACUGGACGGUAACUGACGUUGAGGCUCGAAAGCGUGGGGAGCAAACAGG